rnacentral:rRNA from 1 species
AACGAACGCUGGCGGCAGGCUUAAUACAUGCAAGUCGAACGGGCGCAGCAAUGCGUCAGUGGCAGACGGGUGAGUAACACGUGGGAACCUUCCUCGUUGUACGGAACAACUCAGGGAAACUUGAGCUAAUACCGUAUAAGUCCGAGAGGAGAAAGAUUUAUCGCAAUGAGACGGGCCCGCGUCGGAUUAGGUAGUUGGUGAGGUAACGGCUCACCAAGCCAACGAUCCGUAGCNGAUCUGAGAGGAUGAUCAGCCACACUGGGACUGAGACACGGCCCAGACUCCUACGGGAGGCAGCAGUAGGGAAUCUUGGACAAUGGGCGCAAGCCUGAUCCAGCCAUGCCGCGUGAGUG